UCCCUCACCCUCCUCCCCGCCGCCCUCUCUCUCCCAGCUCUCUGGAUCUCUGCCGCCACCUCCACUCCUCUUCUCCCUCUCCGUCUGCCUCUGCCGCCCCGACCGCUCCCGCGGGAUCCAGAUCCGGCGCGGGGGCAGCGGCGCCCCCUUCCUCCGCCCGGAUCUACCACGAAGCUUCACCAUGCCACCCCUCGUCUGCCCGACAUCAACCUGGCGCUCUUGAGCUGGGUACAAGGCGUCAACGCCUAGGAUCUCCUGCACCACCCCGAGCUUGGACGCCGAUGCAGCACGGUCCGGUCGACGCCGGUGCUUCGGCGAGCACGACAGCCCAGCUCGGACGCAGCACGGGCCGCUGCAGCCUGGAGUGGCAGGAACGCAAGGCCACGGGGGCGCGUCGCGGUGGGUCGGUCCUGGCCGACGGCGAGAGGGCGGCGCAUGGAUCGGUUCCGGCUAUGGUGUCCCAUGCUUACCGCCGCCGUCUUCUCUCUCUCUGCCUCCUCGUCACCACCUCCCCUCCCCUUCUUCCUCCCCGCUUGCCUCCAUCGCCCCUCUCCGCCGCCGCUGCGCACCGAGGUCGUCCUCGUCGAAGAAGGCGCUCGCGGCUGGCAUCAGUAGGUCACCUCCGCUGCAACUCCUUUGGCUCCGUCUACUGUUCUCGCAGGUGUUGAUCGAUCAGUGCCAUGUGCAAGAAAUAGAUAGCAAGUGAUUUCCCCCAAAUUCCCAGCCCGCAAUCACACCACAAGUGCUUCCUCAUGAGUCGUAAUCCACAUCCCCUUUCUCUCCAUUAUUAUUUUGCCCCGAGAUCUGCUCAUAUCACUUUUUAUCUAAAAUGUGCUUUCCCACAGUGUAUGAUGUAUGGAGGUCAAAAUUUCUUUUGAGAGUGAAUUGAAGUUAUAGCAGGAUCACACGUACACUGAUUAUCCACAUAAAUGAGAAGUGAAGCACGAGCAUUAAGAAUAUCUGGUAGUCAUGCGUACUCGUGAUAGUAUGAUGAAUGGAUGUUCAACCGUCCUUUUCUAUUUCUGAAAUCAUUUACAGUUUUGGAAGGGAGUUGUAUAUUCUAAGUAUAUAUUAUGCUGCAGACUGGAUAGAUGGAGCAUAGGAAAGGAGGUGAUAUCUUUAUUGAAUCCGCAAUGCCAUUUGUGAAACUCUAUUUUAAAAUGAUUCAUAUAAGCUUGUGAAACUCUAUUUAAAAUGAUUCGCAUUAUCUUGUACUGUCACCUCUGACUGCUAUAACAUAGUUCUCAAGUGAUUGAGUCCUUACAUUUUAACAUAACUAUUUCACAAAAUAUUAGUUACAUCAACUUCAUGAGUUCUUACUGAAUUUGAUUUCUGUUGUUUGUUUCAAAAUAGUGCCAACUGCUGAGAAUACCCAUUCAUGACAAGAUAGAAUACCCAACUGCCUAGAUUAAUUAUGCCAGUCAAAGCUUUUUUAUUCCAUGAAUAGAAAUAGAAUUAGACCGUUUCAUGAUUCAGUGGUCAAAGAUUAAUUAUAGUUUUUCUUCUCCUUAAGAAGGAGAUAGCAUUUAAAGACUCUGAUUUCCAGCAUGCUCUUAUGCUAUAGAGAAGAAGCAGUCUGAACCUUUUCUGAUCAGAGAGCAUUACUCUGAUAAAAUAGAUUUAAGCUUGUACACUCAUAUAUACACUGCUUAGAUGAAUAUUAUUUCUAUCAUUGAUAAUUGCUAAUCUGCAAUUGUGAUUCAGACUACUCAUGUUUUAGGAUGUUAACGAAGUCCUUGCCUGCAACCGUUUCAGAGAAAUAGGCAGCACGUCAAAUUUAGCUUUGCGUGCUCUCAAAUUCACCUGCGCUGAGAUCUACUUAGCUUUUAACUAGCCACGACAAAAGAGUAAAUAUUUUCAGUAUGCUUGUUGGAUUAUGAUAAGUAUUUUUCUUAUUACAUACAUAGAAGCAAACUAACCUUCUGAAUAUGUAUAACUAAGUGGCACUUGAAUUACUUUUAUAUUACUCUAUUCUUUGUAGCAAAUAUUGAUUCAUUAUGCCCAUUGGCAAUCACACAUGUUCUGAAGGCAGCAAACUCAUGAAGGAUUGUGUGUGGCUGCACAAGUUGAGUCGAUCUCGACCUAUCUAUGUAUGUUGGAUUUACCCCGCUCACAGGAGCUGAUAUGAUAAUUAUUAGUGUAUAUACCCACAACCUCAGUGUUGAAUUAAGUAUAGAACUAUCACACGUUCCAGUUUGGAUAAACUGGAGCUCGGAUGUAACCAUGGUGAUGGAUGUAUUGUGAUGUUCAUGAUUGAUAUGCCGGACAGGCAUCUGAUGGCUAGGAUAGCUUCAUGCUCGGAUGUGCUGUAAUAUUUAUGAUUCAAAUGCCAAAUAGACAUCUAUAUUAACAUGUUAACAUGUUGAUGAAUGCUUGCUACCA